CUCUUGACAUCCAGCGAACUUUCCAGAGAUGGAUUGGUGCCUUCGGGAACGCUGAGACAGGUGCUGCAUGGCUGUCGUCAGCUCGUGUUGUGAAAUGUUGGGUUAAGUCCGCAACGAGCGCAACCCUUAUCCUUUGUUGCCAGCGAUUCGGUCGGGAACUCAAAGGAGACUGCCGGUGAUAAACCGGAGGAAGGUGGGGAUGACGUCAAGUCAUCAUGGCCCUUACGAGUAGGGCUACACACGUGCUACAAUGGCGCAUACAAAGAGAAGCGACCUCGCGAGAGCAAGCGGACCUCAUAAAGUGCGUCGUAGUCCGGAUCGGAGUCUGCAACUCGACUCCGUGAAGUCGGAAUCGCUAGUAAUCGUGGAUCAGAAUGCCACGGUGAAUACGUUCCCGGGCCUUGUACACACCGCCCGUCACACCAUGGGAGUGGGUUGCAAAAGAAGUAGGUAGCUUAACCCUCGGGAGGGCGCUUACCACUUUGUGAUUCAUGACUGGGGUGAAGUCGUAACAAGGUAAGCGUACGUGU
rnacentral:rRNA from 1 species